AUCAACUUUCGAUGGUAGGAUAGAGGCCUACCAUGGUGGUAACGGGUAACGGGGUGUUAGGGCACGACACCGGAGAGGGAGCCUGAGAAACGGCUACCACAUCCAAGGAUGGCAGCAGGCGCGCAAAUUACCCAAUCCCGACACGGGGAGGUAGUGACAAUAAAUAACAAUACGGGGUCCUUACGGGUUUCGUAAUUGGAAUGAGUACAAUUUAAAUCUCUUAACGAGGAACAAUUGGAGGGCAAGUCUGGUGCCAGCAGCCGCGGUAAUUCCAGCUCCAAUAGCGUAUAUUAAAGUUGUUGCAGUUAAAAAGCUCGUAGUUGAAUUUCGGGGUUAGUAGAUUGGUCGUGCCACUGGAAUGCACUGGUCUUACUGAUUCCUCCUUCCUGAUGAACCGUAAUGCCAUUAAUUUGGUGUUGCGGGGAGACUGGACUGUUACUUUGAAAAAAUUAGAGUGUUUAAAGCAGGCUAACGCUUGAAUACAUUAGCAUGGAAUAAUGAAAUAGGACGUUCGAUCCUAUUUUGUUGGUUUCUAGGAUUGACGUAAUGAUUAAUAGGGAUAGUUGGGGGCAUUAGUAUUCAAUUGUCAGAGGUGAAAUUCUUGGAUUUAUUGAAGACUAACUACUGCGAAAGCAUUUGCCAAGGAUGUUUUCAUUAAUCAAGAACGAAAGUUAGGGGAUCGAAGACGAUCAGAUACCGUCGUAGUCUUAACCAUAAACUAUGCCGACUAGGGAUCGGAUGAUGUUAUUUUUAAUGACUCAUUCGGCGCCUUACGGGAAACCAAAGUGUUUGGGUUC
rnacentral:rRNA from 1 species